rnacentral:rRNA from 1 species
GGUUAAGCGACUAAGCGUACACGGUGGAUGCCCUGGCAGUCAGAGGCGAUGAAGGACGUGCUAAUCUGCGAUAAGCGCCGGUAAGGUGAUAUGAACCGUUAUAACCGGCGAUUUCCGAAUGGGGAAACCCAGUGUGACUCGUCACACUAUCAUUAACUGAAUCCAUAGGUUAAUGAGGCGAACCGGGGGAACUGAAACAUCUAAGUACCCCGAGGAAAAGAAAUCAACCGAGAUUCCCCCAGUAGCGGCGAGCGAACGGGGAGGAGCCCAGAGCCUGAAUCAGCAUGUGUGUUAGUGGAAGCGUCUGGAAAGGCGCGCGAUACAGGGUGACAGCCCCGUACACAAAAGCGCAUGUGCUGUGAGCUCGAUGAGUAGGGCGGGACACGUGGUAUCCUGUCUGAAUAUGGGGGGACCAUCCUCCAAGGCUAAAUACUCCUGACUGACCGAUAGUGAACCAGUACCGUGAGGGAAAGGCGAAAAGAACCCCGGCGAGGGGAGUGAAAAAGAACCUGAAACCGUGUACGUACAAGCAGUGGGAGCCCCACCACUAAGCCAGUGGUGAACUCCACAUACGCAUCCUUUGCUGAGGAUACGGUUAACGGAGCGAAAGCGACGUUCAACCUCAAAAGAAGCAGAGGGGGCUUAGUGGUGGGGUGACUGCGUACCUUUUGUAUAAUGGGUCAGCGACUUAUAUUCUGUAGCAAGGUUAACCGAAUAGGGGAGCCGGAGGGAAACCGAGUCUUAAUUGGGCGUUAAGUUGCAGGGUAUAGACCCGAAACCCGGUGAUCUAGCCAUGGGCAGGUUGAAGGUUGGGUAACACUAACUGGAGGACCGAACCGACUAAUGUUGAAAAAUUAGCGGAUGACCUGUGGCUGGGGGUGAAAGGCCAAUCAAACCGGGAGAUAGCUGGUUCUCCCCGAAAGCUAUUUAGGUAGCGCCUCGUGAAUUCAUCUCCGGGGGUAGAGCACUGUUUCGGCUAGGGGGCCAUCCCGGCUUACCAACCCGAUGCAAACUGCGAAUACCGGAGAAUGUUAUCACGGGAGACACACGGCGGGUGCUAACGUCCGUCGUGAAGAGGGAAACAACCCAGACCGCCAGCUAAGGUCCCAAAGUCAUGGUUAAGUGGGAAACGAUGUGGGAAGGCCCAGACAGCCAGGAUGUUGGCUUAGAAGCAGCCAUCAUUUAAAGAAAGCGUAAUAGCUCACUGGUCGAGUCGGCCUGCGCGGAAGAUGUAACGGGGCUAAACCAUGCACCGAAGCUGCGGCAGCGACGCUUAUGCGUUGUUGGGUAGGGGAGCGUUCUGUAAGCCUGUGAAGGUGUGUCGUGAGGCAUGCUGGAGGUAUCAGAAGUGCGAAUGCUGACAUAAGUAACGAUAAAGCGGGUGAAAAGCCCGCUCGCCGGAAGACCAAGGGUUCCUGUCCAACGUUAAUCGGGGCAGGGUGAGUCGACCCCUAAGGCGAGGCCGAAAGGCGUAGUCGAUGGGAAACGGGUUAAUAUUCCCGUACUUGGUGUUACUGCGAAGGGGGGACGGAGAAGGCUAUGUUGGCCGGGCGACGGUUGUCCCGGUUUAAGCGUGUAGGCUGGUUUUCCAGGCAAAUCCGGAAAAUCAAGGCUGAGGCGUGAUGACGAGGCACUACGGUGCUGAAGCAACAAAUGCCCUGCUUCCAGGAAAAGCCUCUAAGCAUCAGGUAACAUCAAAUCGUACCCCAAACCGACACAGGUGGUCAGGUAGAGAAUACCAAGGCGCUUGAGAGAACUCGGGUGAAGGAACUAGGCAAAAUGGUGCCGUAACUUCGGGAGAAGGCACGCUGACACGUAGGUGAAGUGAUUUACUCAUGGAGCUGAAGUCAGUCGAAGAUACCAGCUGGCUGCAACUGUUUAUUAAAAACACAGCACUGUGCAAACACGAAAGUGGACGUAUACGGUGUGACGCCUGCCCGGUGCCGGAAGGUUAAUUGAUGGGGUCAGCGCAAGCGAAGCUCCUGAUCGAAGCCCCGGUAAACGGCGGCCGUAACUAUAACGGUCCUAAGGUAGCGAAAUUCCUUGUCGGGUAAGUUCCGACCUGCACGAAUGGCGUAAUGAUGGCCAGGCUGUCUCCACCCGAGACUCAGUGAAAUUGAACUCGCUGUGAAGAUGCAGUGUACCCGCGGCAAGACGGAAAGACCCCGUGAACCUUUACUAUAGCUUGACACUGAACAUUGAGCCUUGAUGUGUAGGAUAGGUGGGAGGCUUUGAAGUGUGGACGCCAGUCUGCAUGGAGCCGACCUUGAAAUACCACCCUUUAAUGUUUGAUGUUCUAACGUGGACCCGUGAUCCGGGUUGCGGACAGUGUCUGGUGGGUAGUUUGACUGGGGCGGUCUCCUCCUAAAGAGUAACGGAGGAGCACGAAGGUUGGCUAAUCCUGGUCGGACAUCAGGAGGUUAGUGCAAUGGCAUAAGCCAGCUUGACUGCGAGCGUGACGGCGCGAGCAGGUGCGAAAGCAGGUCAUAGUGAUCCGGUGGUUCUGAAUGGAAGGGCCAUCGCUCAACGGAUAAAAGGUACUCCGGGGAUAACAGGCUGAUACCGCCCAAGAGUUCAUAUCGACGGCGGUGUUUGGCACCUCGAUGUCGGCUCAUCACAUCCUGGGGCUGAAGUAGGUCCCAAGGGUAUGGCUGUUCGCCAUUUAAAGUGGUACGCGAGCUGGGUUUAGAACGUCGUGAGACAGUUCGGUCCCUAUCUGCCGUGGGCGCUGGAGAACUGAGGGGGGCUGCUCCUAGUACGAGAGGACCGGAGUGGACGCAUCACUGGUGUUCGGGUUGUCAUGCCAAUGGCACUGCCCGGUAGCUAAAUGCGGAAGAGAUAAGUGCUGAAAGCAUCUAAGCACGAAACUUGCCCCGAGAUGAGUUCUCCCUGAGACUUAAAGUCUCCUGAAGGAACGUUGAAGACGACGACGUUGAUAGGCCGGGUGUGUAAGCGCAGCGAUGCGUUGAGCUAACCGGUACUAAUGAACCGUGAGGCUUAACCUU